AAGAUCGACGAUGAUGACAUCGUCUCUCACAUCCCCGCUGGCCUGGACGAGGAAUUUGAUCCGGUGGUCUCUGCUAUGUGCUCCAGAGUGGAGCCGAUC
rfam:Triticum aestivum genome assembly, contig: Triticum_aestivum_CS42_TGACv1_scaffold_160678_2DL